UGAAUCAUCGAAUCUUUGAACGCACAUUGCGCCCGCCAGUAUUCUGGCGGGCAUGCCUGUUCGAGCGUCAUUUCAACCCUCAGGCCCCCAGUGCCUGGCGUUGGGGAUCGGCACAACCGCCCUCCGGGGCGGCCGCCGGCCCCGAAAUCUAGUGGCGGUCUCGCUGUAGUCCUCCUCUGCGUAGUAGCACAACCUCGCACUGGAACGCGGCGGCGACCAUGCCGUGAAACACCCCACUUCUGAAAGUUGACCUCGGAUCAGGUAGGAAUACCCGCUGAACUUAAGCAUAUCAAUAAGCGGAGGAAAAGAAACCAACAGGGAUUGCCUCAGUAACGGCGAGUGAAGCGGCAACAGCUCAAAUUUGAAAUCUGGCCCCAGGCCCGAGUUGUAAUUUGCAGAGGAUGCUUUUGGCAAGGUGCCUUCCGAGUUCCCUGGAACGGGACGCCAUAGAGGGUGAGAGCCCCGUCUGGUCGGACACCGAGCCUCUGUAAAGCUCCUUCGACGAGUCGAGUAGUUUGGGAAUGCUGCUCAAAAUGGGAGGUAUAUGUCUUCUAAAGCUAAAUACCGGCCAGAGACCGAUAGCGCACAAGUAGAGUGAUCGAAAGAUGAAAAGCACUUUGAAAAGAGAGUUAAAUAGCACGUGAAAUUGUUGAAAGGGAAGCGUUUAUGACCAGACUUGGCCCGGUUGAUCAUCCAGCGUUCUCGCUGGUGCACUCUGCCGGUCCAGGCCAGCAUCAGUUCGUCGCGGGGGAUAAAGGUUUCGGGAAUGUAGCUCCUCCGGGAGUGUUAUAGCCCGUUGCGUAA
rnacentral:rRNA from 1 species